rnacentral:sRNA from 1 species
GGAGAAGGGCUUGGGGGAGGGUACCCAGGCAGCAGCCCCUAGCCUCCUCUCCAGGGCCUGUCCUGCUGCUCUUUUCCACCCUCAGGUUUCUCACUUUACCAGGACGGCCUGUGUGACUUGUGGCCUCCGAGGGUCCUGCUCCCCUCCUCAUGGUCUCAGCGAAUAGCGGCCCUUAGGGCCGGCCCCUUACAUGUGUGAGUGCCCAGGGCUGAGGGUGGCUGGCCACCUGAGUCCUGACCUGCCUCUUCUCCUGCUGGCAGGUACACUUCUUCAGGCUGUGUCCUCUGUGCAGCCGAGAGUGCAGCCUGGUGCCCGGGCUUCGGGGGCCUGGCGGCCAAGAUGGGGGGCUUGUGUGGGAGUGCUCAGCAGGCCAUACCUUCUCCUGGGGACCCUCUUUGAGCCCUACACCUUCAGAGGCACCCAAGCCAGCCUCCCUUCCACAUACUUCUCGGAGAAGUUGGUGUUCCGAGGCCACAAGUGGGCAGGAGCUUGCAGAUUUGGAAUCUGAGCAUGAUGAGCGGACUCAAGAGGCCAGGUUGCCCAGGAGGGUGGGACCCCCACCAGAGACCUUUCCACCUCCAGGAGAGGAAGAGGGUGAGGAAGAGGACGAUGAUGAGGAUGAAGAGGAGAUGCUCAGUGAUGCCAGCUUAUGGACCUACAGCUCCUCCCCAGAUGAUGAGCCUGAUGCCCCCAGACUACGCCCUUCCCCUGUCACCUGCACACCUAAAGAGGGGGAGACACCACCAUCCCCUGCAGCACUCUCCACUCCUCUUGCUCUGCCGUCCUUGUCAGCAUCCUCAUUGAGUUCCAGAGCUCCUCCACCUGCAGAAGUCAGGGUGCAGCCAGAGCUCAGCAGGACCCCUCAAGCGGCCCAGCAGACUGAGGCCCUGGCCAGCACUGGGAGUCAGGCCCAGUCUGCUCCAACCCCGGCCUGGGAUGAGGACACUGCACAGAUUGGCCCCAAGAGAAUUAGGAAAGCUGCCAAAAGAGAGCUGAUGCCUUGUGACUUCCCUGGCUGUGGAAGGAUCUUCUCCAACCGGCAGUAUUU